rnacentral:rRNA from 1 species
GGUCAGGACGAACGCUGGCGGCGUGCCUAAUACAUGCAAGUCGAACGGUCUUUCUAUGGAAGCUUGCUUCCACUGAGAAGAUAGUGGCGAACGGGUGAGUAACACGUGGGUAACCUGCCCAUAAGAGGGGGAUAACAUCCGGAAACGGGUGCUAAUACCGCAUAGUUUUCUUGAUCGCAUGAUUGAGAAAGGAAAGACGGCCUUUGUGCUGUCGCUUAUGGAUGGACCCGCGGCGUAUUAGUUAGUUGGUGAGGUAAUGGCUCACCAAGACGAUGAUACGUAGCCGACCUGAGAGGGUGAUCGGCCACAUUGGGACUGAGACACGGCCCAAACUCCUACGGGAGGCAGCAGUAGGAAAUCUUCCGCAAUGGACGAAAGUCUGACGGAGCAACGCCGCGUGAGUGAAAGAAGGUUUUCGGAUCGUAAAACUCUGUUGUCAGAGAAGAACAAGUUGGAGAGUAACUGCUCCAGCCUUGACGGUAUCUGACCAGAAAGCCACGGCUAACUACGUGCCAGCCGCCGC